GACGUAGGGCGCGAGCGUUGUCCGGAAUUACUGGGCGUAAAGAGCUCGUAGGUGGUUUGUCGCGUUGUUCGUGAAAUCCCACGGCUUAACUGUGGGCGUGCGGGCGAUACGGGCAGACUGGAGUACUGCAGGGGAGACUGGAAUUCCUGGUGUAGCGGUGGAAUGCGCAGAUAUCAGGAGGAACACCGAUGGCGAAGGCAGCUCGCUGGGACGGUACUGACGCUGAGGCGCGAAAGCGUGGGGGAGCAAACAGG
rnacentral:rRNA from 1 species